rnacentral:lncRNA from 1 species
CUAAGCCGUUGAUGAGAACCAAGAAAAUUCCGACUAGAAUCAAGUAGAAGAUAUAAACCCCACAGAAAUGGAUAAACAUGUGUGAAUGAUUAUGAAUGCAAAAUGAUGUGAUGCAAAAUGAUGUGAAUGCAGUGCAGUGGCAUGGGAAUCAGGAUCGCUGUAUUUGCUUGAACAUCUGUCAGGUUGCACUGUCUGGAGAGAA